rnacentral:lncRNA from 1 species
AAUCAUUCAAUGCCUCUUUCUCUCUCUCAUUCAUGGAGUACUGAGGUAUAAAUGCUGCACACCCUCGCUCUCUCUCACACACACAGCUCUCUCUCUUUUCCAUCUAUUGAUGUACCACUCUCUUCUCCAGCAAAAAAAAGAUGACCUCUCUCUUCAUUUAGACUUAGACCUGUAAAGAGGCCUCUGAGCAGAAGAAGACAGUAAAAAAAGCAAAGCCCAAGCAGGAGAAAGGUCCCAUUUUUUUUCCAAUUGUUUCAAUGGGAAAAGGCUUCAGUGGAGAGAAGAGGAGGUAAAAGAGGGAGGAAUCUCAAGUUGCCAUCUUUGCUUUUCUCUUUUUUCCACUGUGUGGUUUGGGUUGUGGUCUUGUGUUGGCUUCAGAGCUUUGAGUGUGGAGAAGGGAAGGCAGUAGAGGGAGGCUUUGGCUUUGAAUGGGUCGGACUGGGCUGCCCUGCUCUUCUCUGAAACCAAGGCACUUUUUCUGCUUCCCAGUUUGCCGAUAGCAGAAGGAUU